ACCUUGGCAAGCCCUUUGAAGUAUGGAUGAGACAAUGCCUGAAAUACAACAUGAGUUUCCAUAUAUGUAGAUCAAGAGUAUAUCUUUAGGAGCAAGAUCUUUGAAGCAUUCGUUGCGAAAACUGAAAUCCUCCCACGCAACAUUAGUGAAGUCAAAUGCUCGUGCACAGAUCGGGAGAACCCCACAAGAAAAGGCAACAGCUUUGCCCACCGACAAAGAAGAGCAACGGCCACUAAGUCUUUGCGCGGGCGGCGUCUCGAGGCCACAGAAUUCGGUCAACUUUUGCAUGUUAAUUACGGGCUUUAUACUGGUAAGGAGCACCAAAUUUCCCCUUUUUUCCCAAAUAUAGAAGGGAGACAGCAGAACGCAAA